UCGAAUAGCGACUUGGUCAAUGAAGUUGAGUGCUUAUAUUUAACUGAUUUGACAUUAAGACGAGUGGCGAACUGGUGAGUAACACGUGGGUAACUUGCCCCGAAGCGGGGGAUAACAUUUGGAAACAGGUGCUAAUACCGCAUAACAACAAAAACCACAUGGUUUUUGUUUAAAAGAUGGUUUCGGCUAUCACUUUGGGAUGGACCCGCGGCGUAUUAGCUAGUUGGUGAGGUAAUGGCUCACCAAGGCAAUGAUACGUAGCCGACCUGAGAGGGUAAUCGGCCACAUUGGGACUGAGACACGGCCCAAACUCCUACGGGAGGCAGCAGUAGGGAAUCUUCCACAAUGGACGAAAGUCUGAUGGAGCAACGCCGCGUGAGUGAUGAAGGGUUUCGGCUCGUAAAACUCUGUUGUUGGAGAAGAACGGGUGUCAGAGUAACUGUUGACAUCGUGACGGUAUCCAACCAGAAAGCCACGGCUAACUACGUGCCAGCAGCCGCGGUAAUACGUAGGUGGCAAGCGUUGUCCGGAUUUAUUGGGCGUAAAGCGAGCGCAGGCGGUUCUCUAGGUCUGAUGUGAAAGCCUUCGGCUUAACCGGAGAAGUGCAUCGGAAACCGGGAGACUUGAGUGCAGAAGAGGACAGUGGAACUCCAUGUGUAGCGGUGAAAUGCGUAGAUAUAUGGAAGAACACCAGUGGCGAAAGCGGCUGUCUGGUCUGCAACUGACGCUGAGGCUCGAAAGCAUGGGUAGCGAACAGGAUUAGAUACCCUGGUAGUCCAUGCCGUAAACGAUGAUUGCUCAGUGUUGGAGGGGUUCCGCCCUUCACUGCUGCAACUAACGCAUUAAGGUUUCCGACUGGGUUAGUACGAA
rnacentral:rRNA from 2 species